rfam:Geoglobus ahangari strain 234, complete genome.
CUGACGGCACCGCGUGGGCUGAUAUCGGAAUGAAAGCCCUGGCCCUCUACCGCGGAAAGGCCAAGGAGAGGGCCCGCGUGACCGUCAG